rnacentral:rRNA from 1 species
AACGAACGCUGGCGGCAGGCCUAACACAUGCAAGUCGAGCGCCCCGCAAGGGGAGCGGCGGACGGGUGAGUAACGCGUGGGAAUAUGCCCUUUGCUACGGAAUAGUCUCGGGAAACUGGGGGUAAUACCGUAUACGCCCUUUGGGGGAAAGAUUUAUCGGCGAAGGAUUAGCCCGCGUUGGAUUAGGUAGUUGGUGGGGUAAUGGCCUACCAAGCCGACGAUCCAUAGCUGGUUUGAGAGGAUGAUCAGCCACACUGGGACUGAGACACGGCCCAGACUCCUACGGGAGGCAGCAGUGGGGAAUCUUAGACAAUGGGGGCAACCCUGAUCUAGCCAUGCCGCGUGAGUGAUGAAGGCCUUAGGGUUGUAAAGCCCUUUCAGCUGGGAAGAUAAUGACGGUACCAGCAGAAGAAGCCCCGGCUAACUCCGU